rnacentral:rRNA from 1 species
CGUGCCUAAUACAUGCAAGUCGAGCGGACAGAUGGGAGCUUGCUACCUGAUGUUAGCGGCGGACGGGUGAGUAACACGUGGGUAACCUGCCUGUAAGACUGGGAUAACUCCGGGAAACCGGGGCUAAUACCGGAUGGUUGUUUGAACCGCAUGGUUCAAACAUAAAAGGUGGCUUCGGCUACCACUUACAGAUGGACCCGCGGCGCAUUAGCUAGUUGGUGAGGUAACGGCUCACCAAGGCAACGAUGCGUAGCCGACCUGAGAGGGUGAUCGGCCACACUGGGACUGAGACACGGCCCAGACUCCUACGGGAGGCAGCAGUAGGGAAUCUUCCGCAAUGGACGAAAGUCUGACGGAGCAACGCCGCGUGAGUGAUGAAGGUUUUCGGAUCGUAAAGCUCUGUUGUUAGGGAAGAACAAGUACCGUUCGAAUAGGGCGGUACCUUGACGGUACCUAACCAGAAAGCCACGGCUAACUACGUGCCAGCAGCCGCGGUAAUACGUAGGUGGCAAGCGUUGUCCGGAAUUAUUGGGCGUAAAGGGCUCGCAGGCGGUUUCUUAAGUCUGAUGUGAAAGCCCCCGGCUCAACCGGGGAGGGUCAUUGGAAACUGGGGAACUUGAGUGCAGAAGAGGAGAGUGGAAUUCCACGUGUAGCGGUGAAAUGCGUAGAGAUGUGGAGGAACACCAGUGGCGAAGGCGACUCUCUGGUCUGUAACUGACGCUGAGGAGCGAAAGCGUGGGGAGCGAACAGGAUUAGAUACCCUGGUAGUCCACGCCGUAAACGAUGAGUGCUAAGUGUUAGGGGGUUUCCGCCCCUUAGUGCUGCAGCUAACGCAUUAAGCACUCCGCCUGGGGAGUACGGUCGCAAGACUGAAACUCAAAGGAAUUGACGGGGGCCCGCACAAGCGGUGGAGCAUGUGGUUUAAUUCGAAGCAACGCGAAGAACCUUACCAGGUCUUGACAUCCUCUGACAAUCCUAGAGAUAGGACGUCCCCUUCGGGGGCAGAGUGACAGGUGGUGCAUGGUUGUCGUCAGCUCGUGUCGUGAGAUGUUGGGUUAAGUCCCGCAACGAGCGCAACCCUUGAUCUUAGUUGCCAGCAUUCAGUUGGGCACUCUAAGGUGACUGCCGGUGACAAACCGGAGGAAGGUGGGGAUGACGUCAAAUCAUCAUGCCCCUUAUGACCUGGGCUACACACGUGCUACAAUGGACAGAACAAAGGGCAGCGAAACCGCGAGGUUAAGCCAAUCCCACAAAUCUGUUCUCAGUUCGGAUCGCAGUCUGCAACUCGACUGCGUGAAGCUGGAAUCGCUAGU